UUACUCUGGUUUCUCUUCAUAAUGCACAAGUCUUUCACCUUUUACUAAAAACUUAUGUGGAGAGUGACUCCGAGUUUAGUCUGUUUUGGCAGGCUUUGCCGCCUGGCAGAGCC
rnacentral:snRNA from 1 species